rnacentral:rRNA from 1 species
UACAGAGGUCCCGAGCGUUGUUCGGAUUCAUUGGGCGUAAAGGGUGCGUAGGCGGCUUUCUAAGUCUGAUGUGAAAUCCCGGGGCUCAACCCCGGAACUGCAUUGGAUACUGGGAAGCUAGAGUACUGGAGAGGAGACUGGAAUUUACGGUGUAGCAGUGAAAUGCGUAGAGAUCGUAAGGAAGGCCAGUGGCGAAGGCGAGUCUCUGGACAGUUACUGACGCUGAGGCACGAAGGCCAGGGGAGCAAACGGG